rnacentral:lncRNA from 1 species
AUGAACAUGUCGAGUACAACGCUUGCUUGGGCGAACAAGGAGGUGGAGACGUUCCUCAGCAUUCUUGGGGAGGAAGACGUGCAGAGGGAGCUUGAUGGAGCAGUGAGGAACGAGAAGGUCUUCCAGCUAGUUUCUGGUCGAAUGGCGAUUGCAGGUUACGAGAAGAACACAGAGCAGUGUCGGCAGAAAUGCAAAAAGCUCCGGGCCGAGUAUCGGAAGGUGAAAGACCACGACAACCACAGUGGCGUCGACGGGAAGAUGUGGAAGUGGUUUAACAUCAUGGACGCAAUCUACGGACACCGACCGGCGAGUAGAGGAAGAGAGGGGGCCAUCGACAUGGCCACCUCUCUGCUCGAGUCCAUGUUGGAGCCUACCGGUGAGGAACCUCGCAACCAGGAAGUGCCUGACUCGGCCUUCCCAGAGGACGAAGACAUGGGGUCAAGCCGUUGUAUGAGCCCAACACUACCACCAAGAACAUCUACACCAGUCCCAGUGGAGAGUGCUGCUCUUUGCAACACCACCAACCCCACCUAUCCACGGUCUUUUGCUUUUGCCAAAAGAAGUAGGGCCACUGAUGUUACAGCGAGCAUCCGGGAUAUGCAGGAGCGGGAAGAGGAGCGGGAAGAGGAGCGGCAGGAGCGGGAAGAGGAGCGGCUGGACCGUAGACACCGGGUCGCUCGAGAGGAGGCCCUACAGGAUGCCAUCGAUGCUAGACUGCAUGAGGAUCAACGAGCAUGCAGCAGAUGGCGCAAGUUGCAGCGUUCAACACAGCCUUCCUCCAAACCUUCAGCCAGAGGGUGCAGGCGUUUGGACACCGCGACCCUGUGCCGUGAUCCAGCCAUUCAGGGCCUGACCCUCUGA